rnacentral:rRNA from 1 species
AGUUUGAUCCUGGCUCAGGAUGAACGCUGGCGGCGUGCCUAACACAUGCAAGUCGAGCGAUUCUCUUCGGAGAAGAGCGGCGGACGGGUGAGUAACGCGUGGGUAACCUGCCCUGUACACACGGAUAACAUACCGAAAGGUAUGCUAAUACGAGAUAAUAUACUUUUAUCGCAUGGUAGAAGUAUCAAAGCUUUUGCGGUACAGGAUGGACCCGCGUCUGAUUAGCUAGUUGGUAAGGUAACGGCUUACCAAGGCGACGAUCAGUAGCCGACCUGAGAGGGUGAUCGGCCACAUUGGAACUGAGACACGGUCCAAACUCCUACGGGAGGCAGCAGUGGGGAAUAUUGCACAAUGGGCGAAAGCCUGAUGCAGCAACGCCGCGUGAGCGAUGAAGGCCUUCGGGUCGUAAAGCUCUGUCCUCAAGGAAGAUAAUGACGGUACUUGAGGAGGAAGCCCCGGCUAACUACGUGCCAGCAGCCGCGGUAAUACGUAGGGGGCUAGCGUUAUCCGGAAUUACUGGGCGUAAAGGGUGCGUAGGUGGUUUCUUAAGUCAGAGGUGAAAGGCUACGGCUCAACCGUAGUAAGCCUUUGAAACUGGGAAACUUGAGUGCAGGAGAGGAGAGUGGAAUUCCUAGUGUAGCGGUGAAAUGCGUAGAUAUUAGGAGGAACACCAGUUGCGAAGGCGGCUCUCUGGACUGUAACUGACACUGAGGCACGAAAGCGUGGGGAGCAAACAGGAUUAGAUACCCUGGUAGUCCACGCCGUAAACGAUGAGUACUAGCUGUCGGAGGUUACCCCCUUCGGUGGCGCAGCUAACGCAUUAAGUACUCCGCCUGGGAAGUACGCUCGCAAGAGUGAAACUCAAAGGAAUUGACG